UGGGGAAUAUUGCACAAUGGGCGCAAGCCUGAUGCAGCCAUGCCGCGUGUGUGAAGAAGGCCUUCGGGUUGUAAAGCACUUUCAGCGAGGAGGAAGGUGGUGAGCUUAAUACGCUCAUCAAUUGACGUUACUCGCAGAAGAAGCACCGGCUAACUCCGUGCCAGCAGCCGCGGUAAUACGGAGGGUGCAAGCGUUAAUCGGAAUUACUGGGCGUAAAGCGCACGCAGGCGGUUUGUUAAGUCAGAUGUGAAAUCCCCGGGCUCAACCUGGGAACUGCAUUUGAAACUGGCAAGCUAGAGUCUCGUAGAGGGGGGUAGAAUUCCAGGUGUAGCGGUGAAAUGCGUAGAGAUCUGGAGGAAUACCGGUGGCGAAGGCGGCCCCCUGGACGAAGACUGACGCUCAGGUGCGAAAGCGUGGGGCAGCAAACAGGAUUAGAUACCCUGGUAGUCCAGCGCUGUAAACGAUGUCGAUUUUGGAGGUUGUGCCCUUGAGGCGUGGCUUCCGGAGCUAACGCGUUAAAUCGACCGCCUGGGGAGUACGGCCGCAAGGUUAAAACUCAAAGG
rnacentral:rRNA from 1 species